CCCCCCCCCCCCCCCCCCACACACACACACACACACACACGCACACACACAGUCUGGCUUUUGUUUCAUUCCUCAAUGAGAUGCAGAUAGAGACGUCAGCUUGCAGGCUGCAGGAGUUUGUUUGUCACAGCGUGUGUUUUCUCAUCGUCGAUGCAUUUUGAGUCGUCCUGUAAUUAAUUACUCAAACAAGCAAAUAAAAUAAACAUAAACGGAAUAAACAUGCAUAAAAUUUGUCCUAGCGGUUUUUAAUAACAAACGCGUAACAUUUCCUGUUUUAGACUCGGAUGAGAAAAAAGAAAAAAGUCAAGCGGCUGAUUGAAUCUGUUUAGUCCUUGAGUAUGCGUAUGAAUAUUAAUGAGUGUGUAAUGAAUAUUAAUGAGCGAACACACCAGCCAUUAGCAGCGGCUACAGUACACUGUGUGUUAACUUCACAUUACACAGAAAGAGAAAGAAAUCAUUUUAUUAUAAACGUUAAAGAUUCAAAUACUUUUUAAUAACAGAUAUUUAGCUGGAUUAUUGGUUCCAGGUCCAUGUAAAAAUAUCAAAGAUAAACCCCGAAAUGGCUUCCUGUUCACUCUGAGCGCUCACAGUGACUAAGCCAGUGUUUUGUAGCUCAGACUCGUACUUUACUUGUAUUUUAAGGGCAAACUUUGAAGUUCACGUUCUCUUUAGUUUCAUUAAGUUUAAAGUAUUGGCACCCUUGCCUUCGGUUGGGUUGCUCAAUAGCCGUGUACAUUAGUUUACAAAUUAAAACAGUUUUCUUUCGUUUGGAGCGCUAUUUUACUCAUCAUCGAGCUGUUCUGAAUAACGAGUGUGUAAUUAGUCAUCUGUUGUUCUGUUUUUAAUUUGAAAAAUGAUACUUUAUCCUGUUAUGAGGACCCUAACCUAGCAAGUGAAAAUGAAGAGCUGAAGUAGUGGGUGAGCAAAAACCUAUAAAUAGAGAGUUAGCAAUAUUAUAAUAUAAUCCCAGUGUGGAGCGUGAGUCUCAUCUUGGGGUGGAGCGUGAGUCUGAUCUCGGUGUGGAGCGUGAGUCUGAUCUCGGUGUGGAGCGUGAGUCUGAUCUCGGUGUGGAGCGUGAGUCUGAUGUCAUGUGGAGCGUGAGUCUGAUAGCAUGCAGCGUGAGUCUGAUCCCGGUGUAGCGUGAGUCUGAUCUCGGUGUGGAGCCAGAGUCUGAUCUCGGUGUUGAGCGUGAGUCUGAUCUCGGUGUUGAGCGUGAGUCUGAUCUUGACGUGGAGUGUGAGUCUGAUCUCGACGUGGAGUGUGAGUUUGAUCUCGAUGUGGAGCAUGAGUCUGAUCUCGGUGUGAAGUGUGAGUCUGAUCUCGAUGUGGAGCAUGAGUCUGAUCUCGAUGUGGAGGGUGAGUCUGAUCUCAAUGUGGAGCGUGAGUCUGAUCUUGAUGUGGAGCGUGAGUCUGAUCUCGUGUGGAGCGUUAGUCUGAUCUCGGUGUCUGAUCUUGACUGUGUUGGGAAUGUCGUGACCUUGUGGUAGAACCUCCUCCAUCAUUCCACAGCGAGCUGUCAUGACUCAGAGCUGCUGCUCUCAUUAACUUAGCACUAUAUUUACCACAGAGUUCUACUUUAUAUAUUAUCAUUAUUGUUGUUGUUGUUGUUGUUAUAAAAUAUAUGAUUCACAUCGUGUUCACCAGCAGGUUUUAAUAUACUUCAUUGGAAUAGCUGUGUAUUUGUGUGUGUGUGUGUGUGUGUGUGUGUGUGAGAGAGAGAGAGAGAGAUAGAGAGAGAGAGAUACAGCAGUGUGUAUUAGAGACGUGUGUGUGUGUGUGUUUGUGUGAGAUACAGCAGUGUGUGUUAACUGAACACACCCCCAUGCUACAGCGGCUAAUUCAUUAAUCAUGGAGAUGGUUAUUUAUAGAUGUACAGAGAUGCAGCAAUGAGGACAAAACAGAUCCGAUCUACAACAAGGCGUGCUGGAGCUCACGUCUGAUCUCACCCUGAUAAAUACGCUUCCUCCGCAAAAGAUCCAGGGCCUGUUCUUAUCAGCAUGCAUCACUUAAAUGAAAGUUAAAAUAACGUAAAGCUGAUUUACAAAUGGUGAUUAUUUACCUGGAUUAUUUAGUUGGAUUAGUUUAGUUGGAUUGGUCUAGCUGGAUUGAGAUAUCUCAGAUAAAUACGUUUCGUCUGUGAUCCAUGAAUCAGAAACAUGAUCAGUCAUUUAAUUCAGUAAAUGAGUAAAUUCCUGAAGGUUUGUGGUUGUAUAUCUGGUCUUCAUGUGUCAGAGGUUCAAGGUGCAGUGUUAAUGUCGUGGAAUCGGCGUGUGGUCAUGAAAGAAACGCUAAAAAGGAGAAGAGAGAAGACGAGGCGUGUGGAGCAGCUGCCAUGUGGAAAAAUAAAAAAAAAAAACAGAAGAAAAUCCAACAGUCAGUGGGAGUGAGUUUCAAAUUCAAGAGGAAUUCCUGUGUGUGUGUGUGAGUGUGUGUGUGUGUGUGUGUGUGUGGAAGAUGGCUCAACAAAAACAUGGCAGCUGUGCUUCAUGACAAACUGAGCACCUAAAGAAAGAGGAAAAUCCAGCAAACGGAAAGGAAUGUGCACGCUCCAUCAUGAUUCCGACAGAGACAGAGCGAGAGAGAGAGAGAGAGUGUGUGUUAGUGACAGAUAGAGAGACACAGACAGACAGAAAGCUAGAUAGAGACAGACAAACUGAGAGACACAGACAGACAUAGAGAAAGAGAGAGAGACAGACAGAUAGAGAGACAGACGGAGAGACAGAGAGACACAAGAGUGAGACAGAUGGAGAGACACAGACAGAGAGCGAGACAGUCCCCUCAAGAAAGUCUGCUAACACUUUUACACCAAACACUCGGUAAAUGAAACUUGUAUGAUGCUAUGUGGGCGGAGCUAUAAACAGUUCAGCUCACUGAUUGGUCCAACAUAACGCUGACAGAAACCAGACCAUCUCACUAACUUUAUCUCUCUUUUAUAGUCAGUGUUUUUCUGCAGGAUGUGAGGGGACACGUGACGUUUAUGAAGUGGCGUGUGGCGGUUACAGUCGGCUCGGUUACUUUACUCUUCUUACUCUAAUUACGUCAAAUAAGUCAGUUAGUGAACUCUGUGUGUGUCGCAGCGCCAUGAUCAAACUCGAAAAAUCUCUAACUCUGUCUCUUCCCUGUUUUCAUCGUCUGUUAAACUUCAGUAACAAUAGAGAUGGAGAGAGAGAGAUAGAGAGAGAGAGGGAGAGGGUGAGAGAGAGAUAGAGAGAGAGAUGGAGAGAGUGAGAGAGAGAGUGAGAGAGAGAGAGAGAGAUGGAGAGAGAGAGAGGGAGAGAGAGAGAGGGAGAGAGAGAUGGAGAGAGAGAGAGAGAUAGAGAG
ensembl:lncRNA